AUUAUACCGCGAAACUGCGAAUGGCUCAUUAUAUAAGUUAUCGUUUAUUUGAUAGUACCUUACUACUUGGAUAACCGUGGUAAUUCUAGAGCUAAUACAUGCUAAAAAUCCCGACUUCGGAAGGGAUGUAUUUAUUAGAUUAAAAACCAAUGCCCUUCGGGGCUCCUUGGUGAUUCAUGAUAACUCCUCGAAUCGCAUGGCCUUGCGCCGGCGAUGGUUCAUUCAAAUUUCUUCCCUAUCAACUUUCGAUGUUUGGGUAUUGGCCAAACAUGGUUGCAACGGGUAACGGAGGGUUAGGGCUCGACCCCGGAGAAGGAGCCUGAGAAACGGCUACUACAUCCAAGGAAGGCAGCAGGCGCGCAAAUUACCCAAUCCCGACUCGGGGAGGUAGUGACAAUAAAUACUGAUACAGGGCUCUUUUGGGUCUUGUAAUUGGAAUGAGUACAAUUUAAAUCCCUUAACGAGGAACAAUUGGAGGGCAAGUCUGGUGCCAGCAGCCGCGGUAAUUCCAGCUCCAAUAGCGUAUAUUAAAGUUGUUGUGGUUAAAAAGCUCGUAGUUGAACCUUGGGCCUGGCUGGCCGGUCCGCCUCACCGCGUGUACUGGUCCGGCCGGGCCUUUCCCUCUGUGGAACCCCAUGCCCUUCACUGGGUGUGGCGGGGAAACAGGACUUUUACUUUGAAAAAAUUAGAGUGCUCCAGGCAGGCCUAUGCUCGAAUACAUUAGCAUGGAAUAAUGAAAUAGGACGUGUGGUUCUAUUUUGUUGGUUUCUAGGACCGCCGUAAUGAUUAAUAGGGACAGUCGGGGGCAUCAGUAUUCAAUUGUCAGAGGUGAAAUUCUUGGAUUUAUUGAAGACUAACUACUGCGAAAGCAUUUGCCAAGGAUGUUUUCAUUAAUCAGGAACGAAAGUUAGGGGAUCGAAGACGAUCAGAUACCGUCGUAGUCUUAACCAUAAACUAUGCCGACUAGGGAUCGGACGAUGUUAUAAUUUGACUCGUUCGGCACC
rnacentral:rRNA from 1 species